rnacentral:rRNA from 1 species
GACGAACGCUGGCGGCGUGCUUAACACAUGCAAGUCGAACGCUGAAGCCCAGCUUUUGUUGGGUGGAUGAGUGGCGAACGGGUGAGUAACACGUGAGUAACCUGCCUCCUUCUUUGGGAUAACGCCCGGAAACGGGUGCUAAUACUGGAUAUUCACUGGUCUUCGCAUGGGGGUUGGUGGAAAGGGUUUUUCUGGUGGGGGAUGGGCUCGCGGCCUAUCAGCUUGUUGGUGGGGUGAUGGCCUACCAAGGCUUUGACGGGUAGCCGGCCUGAGAGGGUGACCGGUCACAUUGGGACUGAGAUACGGCCCAGACUCCUACGGGAGGCAGCAGUGGGGAAUAUUGCACAAUGGGCGCAAGCCUGAUGCAGCGACGCCGCGUGAGGGAUGGAGGCCUUCGGGUUGUGAACCUCUUUCGCUCAUGGUCAAGCCGCAACAACGGUUGUGGUGAGGGUAGUGGGUAAAGAAGCGCCGGCUAACUACGUG